UACGAAGGGGGCUAGCGUUGCUCGGAAUCACUGGGCGUAAAGCGCACGUAGGCGGAUUGCUAAGUCAGGGGUGAAAUCCUGGAGCUCAACUCCAGAACUGCCUUUGAUACUGGCAACCUUGAGUCCGGGAGAGGUGAGUGGAACUGCGAGUGUAGAGGUGAAAUUCGUAGAUAUUCGCAAGAACACCAGUGGCGAAGGCGGCUCACUGGCCUGGUACUGACGCUGAGGUGCGAAAGCGUGGGGAGCAAACAGG
rnacentral:rRNA from 1 species